UACGUAGGGUCCGAGCGUUGUCCGGAAUUAUUGGGCGUAAAGGGCUCGUAGGCGGUCUGUUGCGUCGGGAGUGAAAACUUACAGCUUAACUGUGAGCGUGCUUUCGAUACGGGCAGACUUGAGGCAUUCAGGGGAGAACGGAAUUCCUGGUGUAGCGGUGAAAUGCGCAGAUAUCAGGAGGAACACCGGUGGCGAAGGCGCCACUCUGGGCCGAAACUGACGCUGAGGAGCGAAAGCAUGGGUAGCAAACAGG
rnacentral:rRNA from 1 species